rnacentral:lncRNA from 1 species
CUUGGUUUUUCACCCAUUCUGUCUUCCUUCCCUGACCCAUGACUCGGGUUUCCAAUAUUUAAAAUACUCUCAUCCUGGACCCUGCAAUCUAAAGAUGAUUUUCUUGCAGAGGCUGAGUGAGCUGGCUCUGACCCACCAGAUGUACCGGGCCCUGAGCUGGACCCUGGUGUCCAGAAGUGGACACAGCCCCUGUGGGGCUCCAGCCUGUGGGGUUGGGGGGUGAUGAGGGACUCCUUCAAGAACGGAUGCAGUGCCUGGCAGGGCUGCAGGCUGCUGCCCACAGAGGGGCCUUUGCAGCUGUCCCUGAUGAAGUUGCCUGGGCACACCAGAGUGUGGGAGAGUGGACGGCGCGGCCCCUCCUGCACUUGGAGCUGCUCUCAGAUCUUGGGCUGUGACCCCUGUGGGUGACACGAAGUUCAGUGAUUGUCCUCCUUCUGGACUGAGGGACAUCCAUCCACACGCGCCCCCUCCACAGCCCGAUCCCAUCACGUCCUGCUCGUCCAACAUGGGCCUUAGAUCCUGGGGUCUCUGCUGAGUGCCUCCCCUCUGAACGCCCGGCUGGCACUUUCACGGUGAAGCCAGCUGUCAUGGACACCGACGGCAGGUGGCCUUUCUGCGUUGUCUACCGGCUGAUCUUGAAAGUGAAAACGGACAUUGUCUGCCCUGUGGUGACCGUGUUGGGUGAUGGUCCUGGGGUCAGGCCCUGCAUGCACCUUCACCCAGGGAUGGCUUCUUAGCUGACAGCGGCUCUGCCAGGAACCACGAUCACCCUCCAGUUUGCUCUUUGUGCUGAAUUUUAUUGACAUGAAAUUC